CCUACGGGUGGCAGCAGUGAGGAAUAUUGGUCAAUGGGCGCGAGCCUGAACCAGCCAAGUCGCGUGAGGGAUGAAGGUUCUAUGGAUCGUAAACCUCUUUUAUAAGGGAAUAAAGUGUGGGAUGUGUCCUAUUUUGUAUGUACCUUAUGAAUAAGGAUCGGCUAACUCCGUGCCAGCAGCCGCGGUAAUACGGAGGAUCCGAGCGUUAUCCGGAUUUAUUGGGUUUAAAGGGUGCGUAGGCGGGCUUUUAAGUCAGUUGUGAAAGUUUGCGGCUCAACCGUAGAAUUGCCGUUGAUACUGGGGGGCUUGAGUAUGUUUGAGGCAGGGGGAAUGCGUGGUGUAGCGGUGAAAUGCUUAGAUAUCACGCAGAACCCCGAUUGCGAAGGCAGCCUGCUAAGCCAUGACUGACGCUGAUGCACGAAAGCGUGGGGAUCAAACAGGAUUAGAUACCCGGGUAGUC
rnacentral:rRNA from 1 species